rnacentral:rRNA from 1 species
UGGGGAAUUGUUCGCAAUGGGCGCAAGCCUGACGACGCAACGCCGCGUGGAGGACGAAGAUCUUCGGGUCGUAAACUCCUUUCGAUCGGGAAGAACGCCUCUGGUGUGAAUAUCGCCAGAGGGUGACGGUACCGAGAGAAGAAGCCCCGGCUAACUACGUGCCAGCAGCCGCGGUAAUACGUAGGGUGCAAGCGUUGUCCGGAAUUAUUGGGCGUAAAGAGCUCGUAGGCGGUCUGUCGCGUCGGCUGUGAAAACUCGGGGCUCAACCCCGAGCCUGCAGUCGAUACGGGCAGACUAGAGUGCGGUAGGGGAGACUGGAAUUCCUGGUGUAGCGGUGAAAUGCGCAGAUAUCAGGAGGAACACCGGUGGCGAAGGCGGGUCUCUGGGCCGUAACUGACGCUGAGGAGCGAAAGCGUGGGGAGCAAAC